rnacentral:rRNA from 1 species
UACGGGGGGGGCAAGCGUUGUUCGGAAUUACUGGGCGUAAAGGGCUCGUAGGCGGCCAACUAAGUCGGACGUGAAAUCCCAGGCUCAACCUGGGAACUGCGUCCGAUACUGGAUGGCUUGAAUUCGGGAGAGGGAUGCAGAAUUCCAGGUGUAGCGGUGAAAUGCGCAGAUAUCUGGAGGAAUACCGGUGGCGAAGGCGGCAUCCUGGACCGACAUUGACGCUGAGGAGCGAAAGCUAGGGGAGCAAACGGGG